CUCCACCUAUUUUCCAGCGGGACCCGAAGGCUGCAGCCUGCUCCACGCACCUCGCUACGCUCACGGGGGGCACCGAGCAGUAGUGGUGGCUCCUGUUCUCCUAUGCCUGUGCAACACCAGUGCUCAGAACGGCUCACCGGCUCAGCACCCAUACAGAUCCACAUGAUGCCUUCCAGUGGGCCAAGCAGCCAUAGAUAUUGUGAGACAGCAUGGAAACAUGCACAACUGAAGGAAAAAAAUUGAUCAGAGCAGAAGAAAUGCCUCUGUCUGGAGGGAAGCAGUAAAGCGGCACAGAGUACAAGGACAACUGCGCGCACAUUACUCACCUCAGGUCCAGGCCCUCCUGCUUCCACAGGAUGUCCAUCAACUGGAUCAUCUGCAGAGUCAGCAUGUCCUGACGAAGAUCUGUGCAGCGUUACAAAGGAAAAAAGGGUC